rnacentral:ncRNA from 20 species
AUUUUCGGGAGCGUUGGUAUAUGAUAGCGAUCGAGCGCCACGCGUUGCGUGAUGCUCCCCGCUUCUCCUCCCUGAGCGGGUGCCUGUCGUUAUUCGAUUAGGCUGUUUGACCCGCCGUUCA